AGAGAGUUCGAUUAUGUUCAGUUGAACGCUGGCGGGAUGCUUACAUGCAAGUCGAACGGCAGCACGGACUUCGGUCUGGUGGCGAGUGGCGGGCGGGUGGUAAUGUAUCGGAACGUGCCUAGUAGCGGGGAUAUUAACUACGCGAAAGCGCUUCUUCAUGCCGCAUACGCCCUUCGGGGAAAAGCGGGGGGACCUUCGGGCCUCGCACUAUUAGAGCGGCCGAUAUCGGUUAGCUGGGUUUUGAUGGAGUAGCGGCUCACCGGGCGACGAUCCGUAGCUGGUUUGAAGGACGACCAGCCACACUGGGACUGAGACCUGGCGGGCUACUGGGAGGCAGCAGUGAAGAAUUCUUUUUGGACAAUGGGAAACCCUGAUCCAGCCAUCCCGCGUGUGCGAUGAAGGCCUUCGGGUUGUAAAGCACUUUUGGCAGGAAAGAAGCAGCUGGGAUAAUACCCCGUGCAACUGACGAACGCCUGCAAAAUGACGCAGCUAACUACGUGCCAGCAGCCGCGGUAAUACGUAGGGUGCAAGCGUUAAUCGGAAUUACUGGGCGUAAAACAUUUGCGGGCGUGGUUGGAAAGAAGAUGUGAAAAUCGACUUAACUUCGGAACUGCAUUUUUUAACUCUGAGCUAGAGUGUGUCAGAGGAGGUGGAAUUCCGCGUGUAGCAGUGAAAUGCGUAGAUAUGCGGAGGAACACCGAUGGCGAAGGCAGCCUCCUGGGAUAACUACACUGACGCUCAUGCACGAAAGCGUCGCGGGAGUGAAGCAGGAUUGAAUACCCUGGUAGUCCACGCCCUAAACGAUGUCAACUAGCUGUUGGGGCCUUCGGAGCCUUGAGUAGCGCAACUAACGCGUGAAGUUGACCGCCUGGGGAGGCUACGGUCGCAAGAUUAAAACUCAAAGAUGGGCGGGGACCCGCACAAGCGGUGGAUGAUGUGGAUUAAUUCGAUGCAACGCGAAAAACCUUACCUGUCGGUAUCUGAAUCCAGAAGAUUUAGAGUGCUGCAAGAGAGGCGUUCCACGGUGCUGCAUGGCUGUAUUAGCUCGUGUCGUGGCGAGAUGUUGGGUUAAGUCCCGCAACGAGCGCAACCCUUGUCAUUAGUUGCUACGAAAAGGCACUCUAAUGCAGACUGCCGGUAGCCGGAGGAAGGUGAGGAUGACGUCAAGUCCUCAUGGCCCUUAUGGGUAGGGCUUCACGUCAUACAAUGUGGUCAGGACAGGAGGGUCACUUCAACCCGCGAGGCCAUCCAGAAACCCGAUCGUAGUCCGGAUCGCAGUCUGCAACUCGACUGCGUGAAGUCGGAAUCGCCAGUAAUCGCGGAUCGGCAUGUCGCGGUAGCCCGGCCCGAAUACGUUCCCGGGUCUUGUACACCGCCCGUCACCAUGGGAGUGGGUUUACCAGAAACUGAGUUAGCUAACCGUAAGGGCGAUUACCACGGUAGGAUUCAUGACUGGGGUGAAGUCGUAACAAGGUAG
rnacentral:rRNA from 1 species